rnacentral:rRNA from 1 species
UACGUAGGGAGCAAGCGUUGUCCGGAAUCAUUGGGCGUAAAGCGCGCGUAGGUGGCUUCGUAAGUCCGUUGUGAAAGUCAAAGGCUCAACCUUUGAAAGCCGAUGGAUACUGCGGAGCUAGAGUACGGAAGAGGCGAGUGGAAUUCCUGGUGUAGCGGUGAAAUGCGCAGAUAUCAGGAGGAACACCGGUGGCGAAGGCGGGUCUCUGGGCCGAUACUGACGCUGAGGAGCGAAAGCGUGGGGAGCAAACAGG